rnacentral:lncRNA from 1 species
CAGAAUCAAGGUGUGGGGAGGGGCAUUUGCUGUUAUUGUUUCUACCCUAGGUGUUGAUUGCUUCUUAUUGUCUCUUUUUCAGACCCUCAGUUCCAUCUUUAAGGUUGAGACGGUGAAAGAGCAAGGUGCAGAAGCAAUCAAACAGGUGAUGUAUCCAAAUGAAUUGGUAUCCUGGAUGAAAAUGUGUUCUGUGAAACCAAUCUGAAUGCAGAAAGAGCCAACAUUUUCUGAUGUCUCUUUCCUGUCCAAAUGAAGAAGUAAUCCUAUGAGGCAAAAGUGCUAAAUUCUUUCCAGAGUGCCAUGAGCAAGCUCCUCUUUUCGCUGUCUUGCUCUCACAGAGCUGACCAUCUCUUCUUUCCCCCUUUCCACAACUGGUGUCUACGUCUGACUCCAAUUCCUCAAGACCUUAUGCCUAGAAGACUGUGUGAUGCUUCUGAUAGGUGUCCUGCUCUCAUUUCUUCCCCUCUACAUAUGUGAUGCUCACCAGCUGAGUCCUCUUCAAGUUCUGCCUAUCUUAUAGGAAACCAGAGCAUACUGGUUGACACAUAGACUCUAGAACCGGUCUGCCAGUUUUCAUCUUCAGUGAAUAAAAAUAAAGGUUAUAAUGGGAACCUGCAUUCAAAUGUUCCAUAACUACUUCUUCCUUCCUUCCUGCCUACCUCCCUCCCUCCUUCCCCUCCUUCUUUCCUUACUUCUUGAUGUUUGGAAUUCCUAAUCCUCCAGGAUUCUACAAACAUUGACAAAAGGCUUCCUGAUUUCUUCCUUCUGUGUGCUUAUCACCCAAUCUGCUUAUUGGGUCACCUUACAUGCCUUGAUUUUCAUUGCCCAUUACAAUUUCAUGUCCAAGUCUUUUCUAAUUCAAACCCAAGAAGCUGUUUUUGUGGUAUUUCAUGAACUUCAUUUCAGGUAUGUGUACUGAUUAUCAAAAUAAAAGUAAAAGUAGCACACUCUGUCAGGCAUUAUGCCUACUGCUUCCUAUCCAGCAUUUCAUUGCACUCUCACUGAAAUGAACUCAAGACCAGUUAGUGAAUCUUGUGAUUGGGGUUACUCUGUCAUAGAGGAACCCUUUUUUCUUGGCCUCCAGUGUCCCUUAGUGUGAGGUAGGGCUGACACAAGUGCAUCUUUACCUUAAUCAAUAAUCAAAGAAACCAAUAUUCCUUUUCUUUUUCAACAUCCACACAGGGCUGUGAUUUUAGGUAUACUGUCCUGUGUUUGAGGACCUAGUUGGUCCAAAUUGACUUUUUUCCUAUGUAUUCCUAUGCAAUAACUGAGAUACCUCAGACAUCAACUUGGGGACAUUUUUGAAGACCUCUGACUUCUUUAGCUCUCCUCUAUGAGUAGUGCCUCUUGCCAGGGUGGGUCUGUGUCUGGCUGACCUUAAUGGCUUCUCUGGGAAGCAUUGGAAAUAAUUGUGUCUGCAAUGACCCUCCGCUUUGCAGAAGGUGCACGGGAUGGCUUCCUGUUCUCUGGGGUCCUCUCAGUCUCUCUGAUCUGCAGAUUCUAUGGAUCAUCUUACACUUUCCCUUACCCCUUCCAAUUAAUCAGAGUCGGCAUGAGUAUUGGAUGUCGGCAUUCUGUACUACCUGUACUGAAGGUGAUGGCUUAUGAUCUGCACUAAAACCAGGUUGUUGUUUAGAAGCAAUACAUUUGCCAUACACUAACAGAUAACAGUUAUAAAGGGGAAGGCCUCUGUGGAGUUCACACAAAUGUGAGCACAGGGCUGGCUCGAGAACAUUUCAGGUGACUUGAUGGUUUUGUUCCUAUACAGGGGGUGGAAGAGGUGUUUCAUUAGCACUGAUGCCACCAAGGGAGCAAUGCCUCAGCGCACCAAGGUGAAGCUGAUGCCCUCGGCUUCCAUUUAGGAAAAGGCCCCCUUGUACCUGAUUUUUUAAUCUGGUCUAUUAAGAGAAGAAUGGGGAAUGUUCAGCUGGAAAUAGACUUCUCCAUGCAGUGUGCAUCCACCAAUAGGCAAACACAUUAGUGACAUAACAUAUUCCACCAGCCCUAGUUGGGACUUGUCAUUUUUGUAUAAAAUGGACUGACACAUCAGUUUAAGUUCUUCUAAAAAUCAUUGCCAUUGAAUGGGAGGAUUCUAGGAGCUGAAGCAUGCUUGACUUUUGGUAGGGACCUAAAUGUAUAAUAUGAGCAGAUGCAUUUGUUUUCAUGAUGGUCAUAAGAAAGUCACUACAGUUUGAGGGCUUGGACCUCACUUUUGACAAGUAUGAUUUGGUUUGGAAGAGUCAUGUAGCCUCCCUUGAAACCUUUUGGUUUUGGCAACAGAAGAACUUUGGGUGACGUGGUGCUAACCUUUUUUGCUCCUUAAUCUUGUGGUAACUCUCUUUGGGCAUCAGCUUACCUGGUAGCAAGUACUCCCAGACCAGGAUAAUCACACAUCUCCCAGGAAGUAGAAGAUAUUCAAUAUCCACUUGCCAUGCUGCAUAAGAGCAGUGCCUCUUGGGACCUUGUCCAGUAAUUGGGGGACAACUUGGAGCUCCAGUAAUGGGGGGAGGGAAUUGAGCGCCUCCACAAGUAUUGUUUCCAUGUGUCUCUUCCCAGCCACCCUCCAAAUCUCCUUGUAUUGGUGAGACCAGUUCCCCCACUCAAGAGAGGAAGGACAUUGCCCAGGUAAGGGCCAUUGAGAUGCAAAUGACUCUUGAGUAUUUUCAAAACAUUUACUACAGUAAAAACUGCAUGGAAUCUGACCUCUAUGUCAAUGUCAAUUGCCUUAGGUUAGCUCCCUUUUCUAAUAUCCCUGGAAGUUUUCAACUUCAUUGAGCAAAGGUUAAAACUCUAAAGCAAAAUGUGUAUAUUGAAACAUUCACCCCAAGGGCUAGAGUGGGAAGGAAAUGGGAGUGGACAUUCCUUCCACUUCCAAUGGAGACAGGGUAAAAGGCAGAAUGGUUCACCAUGGGAGUUAGGAUAAGCAUGCAGAGGGGAAGAGCAAAAGGUAUCUCCUGAAAGAUAAUCAGGAGUGAGGAUUUGGACUGCCGCUGUGGCAUCAGGUUAGAUUAGAGGUGCUGUGCAGCCAGCAGUGCAGGUUGCAAGGGAACAGAGGCCUGUGCCUUGGUGCUGCUUCC